GCUUGCUGGGGGGAUUAGUGGCGAACGGGUGAGUAACACGUGAGUAACCUGCCCUUGACUCUGGGAUAAGCCUGGGAAACUGGGUCUAAUACCGGAUAUGACUCCUCAUCGCAUGGUGGGGGGUGGAAAGCUUUUGUGGUUUUGGAUGGACUCGCGGCCUAUCAGCUUGUUGGUGGGGUAAUGGCCUACCAAGGCGACGACGGGUAGCCGGCCUGAGAGGGUGACCGGCCACACUGGGACUGAGACACGGCCCAGACUCCUACGGGAGGCAGCAGUGGGGAAUAUUGCACAAUGGGCGAAAGCCUGAUGCAGCGACGCCGCGUGAGGGAUGACGGCCUUCGGGUUGUAAACCUCUUUCAGUAGGGAAGAAGCCGCNAGGUGACGGUACCUGCAGAAGAAGCGCCGGCUAACUACGUGCCAGCAGCCGCGGUAAUACGUAGGGCGCAAGCGUUAUCCGGAAUUAUUGGGCGUAAAGAGCUCGUAGGCGGUUUGUCGCGUCUGCUGUGAAAGACCGGGGCUCAACUCCGGUUCUGC
rnacentral:rRNA from 1 species